rnacentral:rRNA from 1 species
CUUUCUUUGCUGGCGACCGGCGCACGGGCGAGUAACACGUAUCCAACCUGCCCUUUACUCGGGGAUAGCCUUUCGAAAGAAAGAUUAAUACCCGAUAGUAUAAUGAUUCCGCAUGGUUUCAUUAUUAAAGGAUUCCGGUAAAGGAUGGGGAUGCGUUCCAUUAGGUUGUUGGUGAGGUAACGGCUCACCAAGCCUUCGAUGGAUAGGGGUUCUGAGAGGAAGGUCCCCCACAUUGGAACUGAGACACGGUCCAA